UUCAAAUUGGUCUACAUUAAUGUCCAAAGGGUCCAAAAUUAAACUUUGUUUGAUUUUAGCAAAAAUUGAAUAUAUGAGGUUCUUUGAUAUGCUGAAUCUAAACGUGUAUUUAGAUUUUUGAUUUUUGGCCCAGUUUUCAAGUUGUUCCAAAUUGGGGUCCAAAAUUAAACUUUGUUUGAUUUCAACAAAAAUUGAAUAUAUGGGGUUCUUUGAUAUGCUGAAUCUAACCAUGUAUUUAGAUUUUUUAUUUGUGGACCCCGUUAUCUAAUUGGUUCAUAUUGAGGUCAAAAGGGUCCAAAAUUAAACUUUGUUUGAUUUCAUCUAAAAUUGAAUUAUUGGGGUUCUUUGAUAUUCCAAAUCUAACCGUGUAUUUAGGUUUUUAAUUUUGGGUCCUGUUUUUUAAAUUGGUCUACAUUGAGGUCCAAAGGGUCCAAAAUUAAACUUAGUUUGAUUUUGACAAAAAUUGAAUUCUUGGGGUUCUUUGAUUUGCUGAAUCUAAACAUGUGUUUAGAUUUUUGAUUAUGGGCCCAGUUUUCAAGUUGGUCCAAGAUAGGGUCCAGUAUUUAAACUUUGUUUGAUUUCAACAAAAAUUGAAUAUAUGGGGUUCUUUGAUAUGCUGAAUCUAAACAUGUAUUUAGAUUUUUGAUUAUGGGCCCAGUUUUCAAGUUGGUCCAAAUUGGGGUCCAAAAUUAAACUUUGUUUGAUUUCAACAAAAAUUGAAUAUAUGAGGUUCUUUGAUAUGCUGAAUCUAACCAUGUAUUUAGAUUUUUUAUUUGUAGGCCCCGCUAUCAAAUUGGUUCAUAUUGAGGUCAAAAGGGUCCAAAAUUAAACUUUGUUUGAUUUCAUCAAAAAUUGAAUUAUUGGGGUUCUUUGAUAUUCCAAAUCUAACCGUGUAUUUAGAUUUUUAAUUUUAAGUCCCGUUUUUUAAAUUGGUCUACAUUAAGGUCCAAAGGGUCCAAAAUUAAACUUAGUUUGAUUUUAGCAAAAAUUGAAUUCUUGGGGUUCUUUGAUAUGCUGAAUCUAAACAUGUGUUUAGAUUUUUGAUUAUGGGCCCAGUUUUCAAGUUUGUCCAAGUUGGGGUCCAAAAUUAAACUUUGUUUGAUUUUAACAAAAAAUGAAUAUAUGGGGUUCUUUGAUAUGCUGAAUCUAACCAUGUAUUUUGAUUUUGGACAUUGGACCAUAAUA